GCUUUACUAUAGCCUGGAAUUGGGUUCGGCUUCCCUUGCGCAGAAUAGGUGGGAGACGAUGAAGAUCGCCUUGUGGGGUGAUCCGAGUCAUCGGUGAGAUACCACUCUAGGGAGCUAGAAUUCUAACUUGCUCCGUAAUCCGGAGAAGAACAGUUUCAGGUGGGUAGUUUGACUGGGCGGUCGCCUCCAAAAAAGUAACGGAGCGCACAAAGGUUCCCUCAGGCUGGAUGGAAAUCAGCCAGAGAGUGUAAAGGCACAAGGGAGCUUGACUGCGAGAGAAGA
rnacentral:rRNA from 1 species